rnacentral:tRNA from 1 species
GGGAGCUUAGCUCAGUUGGUAGAGCAGCGCCCUUUUAAGGCGCGGGUCGCAGGUUCGAUCCCUGCAGCUCUCACCA